rfam:Triticum aestivum genome assembly, contig: Triticum_aestivum_CS42_TGACv1_scaffold_423791_5BS
AACAUACUUCCUCCGUCUUAAAAUUCUUGUCUUAAAUUUGUCUAGAUACAGAUGUAUCUAAUAUUAAAACGUGACUUGAUACAUCCGUAUUUAGAAAAAUUAAGACAAAAAAUUUAGGACGGAGGAAGUACUUC